rnacentral:rRNA from 1 species
UACGUAGGUGGCAAGCGUUACUCGGAUUUACUAGGCGUAAAGCGCAUGUAGGUGGUUAAGCAAGUCUGUAGUGUAAUCUCUCCGCUCAACGGGGAACGGUCUACAGAAACUGCUUAACUUGAGUGUGGCAGGGGGAGAUGGAAUUCACGGUGUAGCGGUGAAAUGCGUAGAUAUCGUGAGGAACACCAAUGGCGAAAGCAGUCUCCUGGGCCAAUACUGACACUGAGGUGCGAAAGCUAGGGGAGCAAACAGG